AGACAGACGCUGGGACCCACGACGACAGAAGGCGCCGAUGGCCGCGCCUGCUGAGCCCUGCGCGGGGCAGGGGGUCUGGAACCAGACAGAGCCUGAACCUGCCGCCACCAGCCUGCUGAGCCUGUGCUUCCUGAGAACAGCAGGGGUCUGGGUGCCCCCCAUGUACCUCUGGGUCCUUGGUCCCAUCUACCUCCUCUUCAUCCACCACCAUGGCCGGGGCUACCUCCAGAUGUCCCCACUCUUCAAAGCCAAGAUGGUAGCUGCCAUCCCUGGGAGCCUGGAACCAGGCAAUGGUGGGGGGAGGCAGGGGACAGGCUGGAACCUGGUGAAGUCUUAAAGUAGACUCCUCCUAUCGGGGUGUAGAAGGGAAUCUGUUAAUCAAACAGAGCAAUAUUAGAAAGGCUACAGAGGUCAACUCAGUGGAACACGGUUCUCCCAAACAGAUUUUGUAAUUCCGAAAAUCCACGCAUGCGCAAACAUACGCAUACACUCCCAUGUUCCUGGACAGUUUAUAGCUACCAUAACCUGGCAUUUUCCAAAACAUACCAUGUAGACUCUUGGAUACACAAGGUAAUUUUAGGGCCACAUUAGGAUGAACCUUUUAAAAAGUUAUGCAUUUAUUUUUAUGUUUCCCCACUAGCUGUAUUAUAGGACAAUUUUUAUAUGUGAUAUGUAUUUACCUUAGUGUGUUAAAUAAACACUGGCAUUCCAAGUGUG
rnacentral:lncRNA from 1 species